UAACUCUGGUUUCACUACAGACACGCAUAAAUCUUUCGCCUUUUACUAAAGAUUUCCGUGCAGUGGAACAAUCAAUGAGUCUAUAGACUUAUUUCUGAAAUCCUCCUCAUCGGAGGGU
rnacentral:snRNA from 1 species